AUAACAGCUUCAGUUCCCCGUCAGAAAGGGCUGUCUGAUGGCGAGGUAUAUAUUCUAAAUAUAGCGUACACUUACACUAACAUCUACUGUAGGUAAUACACUGACUAUGGAGAAGUAGCUCAUACAACUACACUAAGAAACACCUCGACUAUCCCUUUAAGGGCUUGAAAGACAAUUAACAAGACAAGAUUUAUUUUUUCAGAUGUUCCUACAUACAUACAAUACUUCUUCUUCAGGUGUCUAAAAUUACACAAAUUAUCACUUUUUAUUUGUAUCCCAAAGAAAUAUUAAACCGUUUUAAAGGGUCACAGAUGAAAAAGGGUUUCAUGAAAAAUUAGAGAAUGACAUUUAGACCAAACUGAUGUCCACCUUCUCCGCUGACUCUAAAUGUGUGUGUGUGUGUGUAAACUGUUCCUUUAAAGAUCACCAGGUGUCGACCCCCUGCAGGUAAAGUACUGAACACACCACCUGUUGUUUGUCUCGUUUUCUACUCACUUUAGUUUUCCCUCUUUUAAAACGAGUGAAAUAAAUAAAGAGUCGGACCAAAAACAGCUCAGUGGUUCCUUCACAUGUUAACUGAAGAUCCACGAGCUGAAACCUAGAACAUCUGAUCUGAGGUCAGGUGUUAAUAGAAACUAAACUGCUCGUCUCGUAAAGUCUGUCGCUUCAAGUAGAGUUUUAAUAAAGGUUGGUGGAGAAACCGCA